rnacentral:rRNA from 1 species
UACGGGGGGAGCAAGCGUUGUUCGGAUUUACUGGGCGUAAAGGGCGCGUAGGCGGCGUGACAAGUCACUUGUGAAAUCUCCGGGCUUAACUCGGAACGGUCAAGUGAUACUGUCGUGCUAGAGUACAGAAGGGGCAACUGGAAUUCUCGGUGUAGCGGUGAAAUGCGUAGAUAUCGAGAGGAACACCUGCGGCGAAGGCGGGUUGCUGGGCUGAUACUGACGCUGAGGCGCGAAAGCGUGGGGAGCGAACAGG